rnacentral:misc_RNA from 1 species
GAUGAAGAACGCAGCGAAAUGCGAUAAGUAGUGUGAAUUGCAGAAUUCAGUGAAUCAUCGAAUCUUUGAACGCACAUUGCGCCCUUUGGUAUUCCUUAGGGCAUGCCUGUUCGAGCGUCAUUUAAACCUUCAAGCUAAGCUUGGUGUUGGGUGACUGUCCGCUUCACUGCGGACUCGCCUCAAAAUUAUUGGCGGCCGGUACAUUGGCUUCGAGCGCAGCAGAAACGCGAACUCGGGCCAGUCGUAUUGGCUCCCAGAAGCUAUCUUCACAAUUUUGACCUCGGAUCAGGUAGGGAUACCCGCUGAACUUAAGCAUAUCAAUAAGCGGAGGA